rnacentral:rRNA from 1 species
UACGGAGGGUGCGAGCGUUGUCCGGAAUCACUGGGCGUAAAGGGCGCGUAGGCGGCCUGAUAAGUAGGGGGUGAAAUCCUGCGGCUUAACCGCAGGGCUGCCUUCUAAACUGUCAGGCUAGAGCACAGUAGAGGCAGGUGGAAUUCCCGGUGUAGCGGUGGAAUGCGUAGAGAUCGGGAGGAACACCGGUGGCGAAGGCGGCAUCCUGGACCAACACUGACGCUGAUGAGCGAAAGCCAGGGGAGCAAACGGG